AUGUGUAUGCUCAGUUGGGGAAGGUUGAGGAGGUGAUGAGCUUGUAUGAGAGAGGGAGGGCUAGUGGAUGGACUCCAGAUCCUGUUGCUUUUGCUGUGUUGGCUAAAGUGUUUGGUGCAGCUGGGGAUUAUGAUGGUAUUAGGUUUGUGUUGCAAGAGAUGAAGGCACUUGAAGUGCAGCCUAAUUUGGUUGUGUAUAAUACAUUGUUAGAAGCAAUGGGUAAGGCUGGGAAGCCUGGUUUGGCAAGG
rnacentral:misc_RNA from 1 species